CCUACGGGAGGCAGCAGUGGGGAAUAUUGGACAAUGGGCGAAAGCCUGAUCCAGCCAUGCCGCGUGUGUGAAGAAGGUCUUCGGAUUGUAAAGCACUUUAAGUUGGGAGGAAGGGCAGUAAGUUAAUACCUUGCUGUCUUGACGUUACCGACAGAAUAAGCACCGGCUAACUCUGUGCCAGCAGCCGCGGUAAU
rnacentral:rRNA from 1 species